GAGUAAUGUCUGGGAAACUGCCUGAUGGAGGGGGAUAACUACUGGAAACGGUAGCUAAUACCGCAUAACGUCGCAAGACCAAAGAGGGGGACCUUCGGGCCUCUUGCCAUCGGAUGUGCCCAGAUGGGAUUAGCUAGUAGGUGGGGUAAAGGCUCACCUAGGCGACGAUCCCUAGCUGGUCUGAGAGGAUGACCAGCCACACUGGAACUGAGACACGGUCCAGACUCCUACGGGAGGCAGCAGUGGGGAAUAUUGCACAAUGGGCGCAAGCCUGAUGCAGCCAUGCCGCGUGUAUGAAGAAGGCCUUCGGGUUGUAAAGUACUUUCAGCGGGGAGGAAGGGAGUAAAGUUAAUACCUUUGCUCAUUGACG
rnacentral:rRNA from 1 species